CGAGAGUAAACAAAUCUGCCAUUCUGUACCCACGACUACUCUUUCCCUCUCCCCUCUCGCCUCCGCCUUCCCUCCGACUUUUCCCUCGCCGAAAAACCAAUUCCAUGCUCCAGCAGCACGCAACCUCCAAUUCUCCAUUAUAGUAUUGCUGUUCCAGCCGCCUCCAUGGAAUCCGCGGCCGUCUGCAGAUCCUUCACCAGCCGCCUUUUAGGUCCGCCUCGCCUCCCGCAGCCGGGAAUGCUUGGUCUCGGGCGCGUCUGGCCGCCUGCGCCGAGGGUUUGAGUUAUUGCAUGUGGUGGCACCAAGCAUGAGGCGACAACUGCAUUACUUGCAAGGAAGUUACAAAAUAUAUGGGUCAUCAUAAUCGUGACUUUCUUGCAAGUUGUGCAGUUGCUGUCUCAAGCUUGCUGACUCCGUUUGCCAGACCGCAAUGCGAAAUAGGAAAUUUAGUCAGUUUUAGCGAAUGAAUGAUCAUAUAAAUAAGUUUGAGGAAGCAUUCGACUCUAAACUAUUCACUCUUGUAAGUACAGCAUCAUGUUUAACUCUUUAGUUCUGGUCUUCUACUGCCACAGUUUGUUAACCACUCUUAGCUGUAUAUAACGUACUAAAGCAAACAACGUGUUUUGGUUCUGUCCUUCUACUCCCACAGUUUCCUAACCACCCUUUGGUUUGAUACAAUUUGUUUUUACCAAAUUUUGGCAUUGUCCAUGUAAUUUUGUCCCUAGUUACGGCUUGUUUGAUUUAACGCCAAGGUUAACUCAUCAAGAUAGCGUAAUGCAAAUAAUGUGGCAAAACAAGUUGGAUUUGAUUUGUAGCCUACCAAAUCCAAAUUUUGGUAAAGCAACUUAGCAUAGCACCUGGUUAGCCACAAAAAUGUCAGCCAUUUUUUUGCUACUAACCAUUCUCUUUCAUUUGGCUUACCGUCAAAUAUAAAGGCGAGAGAAUUCCUUAUUUAGCACCCCUAAAUUUUGUUUCUUAUUUGACACUGAAAACUUUUUUUUCCUAUCUCAACACCAAGUCUAAAUUUUGUGCCCUUUAUGACACUUCAGUCCAUUUUCCCAUCUAACACCGUUAAAUUGCAUGUAAAAAGACACUUUUGCCCUUCAUGUCAUAUGUGACCAAAUUUUUAAUAGAUGUUAAAUAUUAAAAAAAACUCAUGUCUAGCUCAACUGGCCCCGCAGCCGUGCCGGCAACUACUACAUGCAUCUAUGAUCACCAGGAAAUGCCUAAAUGAUCCAAUAAAUGGUUGAAUUGGGCCACUUAUGUCUUCUUAAAUAUGUUCAAGGAAAUUGGGAACGUAUUCUUAAUUUUGAGAACUUGUUUCCAGAUGUAAAACUUUAAUCGGAUAUCUCUAUACUUAAAAGAGUACUAGUGGAUUAAGGAUACAAGAGUGCAUCCUAAGUUGCAAUGGUUGUAUCCACGGGAAGAACAAUUAUGUGUCUACGAGAACCUCCAAGUGAUGCACCAUGUGAAGUCAUGUUGACAUUUUCUUUUCUCUUUGGUUUGAUGACAGGAGAUGAUCGAGAGAUGAUGGAGCGCGGAGCCAAGAUGCUGAGGACCAAUGCAUCGAACAUGAUGCGGAUCUGUGCAGCGCCGGAGGGAACCUCAAACUGAGAGCUGAAGCGUUUGCUGCUGAUAGAUAGUUCGUUUGCUCCUGCGUGAGUGCUUAACUAUAUCUGGAAAAAAUAGUCCUUUCGCCCCUGUGUGGGCUCAUGGUUUAUGUCUGGAGUAACCCUCCUAAAACUUGUUGGAAUUCUCCUGGUUAGAGUUAGUCGGCUGGUUUUAGGGUGUCGUUGGAUUUUCGCCCCAUGGUGAGCUGUUCGAUGACGAGUGCUUAUUGUGGGUUUCCCAGCGGUGCUUUGAGCUCGCUUCCCCUUUCUAGGUCUCCUUUUGAACUCUUAAAACUAUUUGUAUUUCCGUUAUGCUAAGUAAUGGAAAGGGGUUAUGCCCGACUCAAAAAAAUAAAUAAUUUCAAAGUGGGAAAAGCUAGAAGCAAGAAAACACGCAUGCAUCUACUACUCCUAUAAAAGAACGAGAGGGCGAAGAACCAAAUCAUCUCAUCCAUCGAAUCAUAGAAUCGGAUGGACUAAACCACCCCAACAACAUCAAACACGUUUUACACUUUAAUUACUCACCCUGCCACUCCUAAACUCCUGCUUCCCUUUCUGAAAAACUGCUAUCCCGAUCUCACGCACGAUUCUUAUCCCCCGCCGCGCACAACUUCCCCUCCUCUCACGUUCGCACGCAUAGGAGCUCUCCAUCCCCAACCUCCCUCCUCUCCCGCUUGGUGCCUCACCUCCCCGGUGCCCCACUGCCUCCUCCCCUCAUCGUUGCCCUCCCUGGCGCCCGCAUCCCGCCCCUGGCAUGCCGUCCGCCCCACACGCCGCCCCUCACUGUUGGCCCCGACGUCCUAUUGGAAACGAAUGAGGAACCGCCGCCGCAGCCCCGCCCCAGCCGCUGAGGCCUGAGGUUUGGCUCGUCCCCGCCCCGCCCCGCUGCCGGAGACGCAUCCCUCGAGCACCGCCCGAUAGCCAGAGCUCCGCGCGCGAGAGCCACAACGCCCUAGCCGGCCAGGGACGCGCUUCCCCGCCCCAGUCGCCCCCGGAAACGGACGCCUCGGCCAGCCGUGGGCGCCCUGGAUGGGCUGUGGGGUUGGUGCGGCGACCGCGUGGGAGGGGCCGUCGGGCCUAUAAAUACUCUACCGCCAGGGAUUCCUACUACAAUGGCCGGCCUCUGAUUGUUGGUGACAUGGUUGAAAAAGUUAAUCAGGGGAGCAGGAAAUCUCCGUCCCCGCAUAUGAGCUACCGCCAGCAUCCGCAACGCCUGGUCUGCCUAGCGACUCGCCGCCCCACCCUGUCCGACCACGUCGUGCCUCUUGCCGUCGGUUGACAUACCCUCGUUGUUACCUCCAGCUAUUUUCCCACCUAUAUUACUUGCAACUUUAGGGACUGCUAUAGGGAUUGCUCAACUGGAUCUGCACAAUCCAACAAAAGAAAUAUGCAAAGUGUUUGCAUCUGCACAAUCCAACAAAUAAUAUCUCAGGCUGCUCCGUUCAGAUGACACAGAUGAGCAGCACUGAAUAGCAUCAAAGCAACUAAAUGCAUCUUCUGAGAAGAAAUGACUCCGUGAUAGAGAAUGAUACUCAAUGAUGACAGCUGAACAAAGGGAUGCGUACUUGCACAAUAACCGUGAGUAUAAGAAGUCCAAACACAAGGGCAGUGAUCACUUUUAGCACUUGAGGGGUCCAGUAGAGGUAUUUCUACUUUCUUGCCCUCAAAAGAAAACAAUGGACAAGUAUGCUGCUUAUUCACUUUCUUUCUAUAGGUUAACACAUUUAUAACAAAUUAACAAUAUCACCAGGCUGAAUAUUUGUUGGUUCCAAUAUUUUAAAUUUAGUUGACCUCAUGAAUUCAGAUUCUUGAGGUUUGUCUCUUCAAGUUGUGAUUGACUGGAAACAGGGUGUAACAAAGAAAAGGACUGCAAUUGUGCUCCUAUUGCUUAAUAUACCGAGUGAAAGUAAAUACAACGACCUACAAUAUAGAGCUUAUGUGCUUUGCAUGAAACUGAAUGCAUGGCACUGAACAUACCUCUAAUCUCUUAUGUUAUAUAAGUAAGCACAUGAUUGGGAGGAUUGAUAUCCAUCUUGGUUCAUAAAUAAAUAAAUUUUGGCAACAUAAUUUGGGAGAUGCCUAUCUUUUGCAGCAUGGAAGUCGGAUAGUCAACAUGUUCUAGAUCAACAAGACCCUGAGCACGUCUUGACCCUAACAGAAAAAUAGAGACAUCCCAAGUGAUAAUAGGAAAAGGUUGAAGUGUUGGCACGAAGAAACAUAAUAGGAAUUUUAUGAAUAUUGUGCCUUACUGUCAAGAUGAAUAACAGUCGACUCAGAUAGUGUGUGAUUAUGUUUCUCCUAAAGCUAGCUGACCAACAUCUGAACGACUCUGACUGCUGCGUACAAGUCCAGCUAUAAGGAUCUAAAACAUUGUGUGGAAUUCCGAAAGGUCUUUUCCUAUACUGCAAGACCCUGUUUGGAACAUGAUGAUUUCGUGAAUCAACAACAACACUGUUUCCAGUGACUUUCAACAACUACAUCGUUUCCAGUGAAAUUCAGCAACAACUACAUUGUUUCCUAUCAUCUAGGAAUAUAAAGGCUUUGAUUUUUUUCCCAGUAUAGUUUAGAUUUUCAGGGAACACUUCAACCAAGACAUCGAUGAAGCAAAGAACUUGAUUACAAGGUUCAGGGAGCUCCUAUGCUUUUUCCGAGUAAAGAUGACUUUCAUGCUAGAUUUUCUUUCAAGAUAACAAUAAAGCCUAGGAGCAUCCCUGUCCAUGGAACAAUACUGGAGUGAUAUAGUGCAACGGUCUUGCAUUUCUCAAUGCCUCUAUCUUUAUUUUCAUUGUUAUCGUAAUUCAGUGUGGUAUUUAGAAAUUUAGAAUCCUUGUGCUAUGAUGUUGUGUAUUUUGCAACCCAAUAUACUCUCCUGUUAACUGAAUGUGAUCGUAAUAAUUCAUUUUUAAUCGUUGGUUUA